AUUGAACGCUGGCGGCAGGCUUAACACAUGCAAGUCGAACGAGUGGCGGACGGGUGAGUAAUGCUUGGGAAUCUAGCUUAUGGAGGGGGAUAACUACGGGAAACUGUAGCUAAUACCGCGUACCAUAGGAUGAGCCCAAGUGGGAUUAGGUAGUUGGUGAGGUAAAGGCUCACCAAGCCGACGAUCUCUAGCUGGUCUGAGAGGAUGACCAGCCACACUGGGAUUGGUAUACGUCCCAGACGCCUACGGGAGGCAGCAGUGGGGAAUAUUGCGCAAUGGGGGCAACCUGACGAAGCCAGGCCGCGUGAAUGAAGAAUGCCUUCGUGAUGUAAAGUUCUUUCGGUAGCGAGGCGUUAUCUACAGAAGAAGCACCGGCUAACUCCGUGCCAGCAGCCGCGGUAAUUC
rnacentral:rRNA from 1 species